rnacentral:rRNA from 1 species
GUUGUAUAGUCAAGUAAUUAAGUGCAUGUGGUGGAUGCCUUGGCAGUCAGAGGCGAUGAAAGACGUGAUAGCCUGCGAAAAGCUCCGGGGAGGCGGCAAAUAUCCUUUGAUCCGGAGAUGUCUGAAUGGGGGAACCCACCUACUUUAAGGUAGGUAUUGCAACAUGAAUACAUAGUGUUGCAAGGCGAACGAGGGGAAGUGAAACAUCUCAGUACCCUUAGGAAAAGAAAUCAAUUGAGAUUCCCUCAGUAGCGGCGAGCGAACGGGGAUCAGCCCAUUAAGUUAUGUGUGUUUUAGUGGAACGCUCGGGGAAGUGCGA